AGAGUUUGAUCAUGGCUCAGAACGAACGCUGGCGGCAGGCUUAACACAUGCAAGUCGAACGGGCGUCGCAAGACGUCAGUGGCGGACGGGUGAGUAACGCGUGGGAACAUACCCUCCGGUUCGGAAUAACUCAGGGAAACUUGAGCUAAUACCGGAUACGGCUGAGAGGCGAAAGAUUGAUCGCCGGAGGAUUGGCCCGC
rnacentral:rRNA from 1 species